ACCGUUGUAUUUUUUUCUAGAGUUCAUAAGCUGAGAAAUUAUCAGUAGCUUGAAAGAAGAAAUGGAAUUCUUAGAAUGACAGAGCCCAGUUCCUGAAGAUGAAAGCAGUCUCUACUGCUGUGUUGCGUUGGACUGCAGCCUCACUUCUCUGAGCCUCAGUUUCCCACUUGGUAAAAUGGGGAGAAGGAGCGGGAAGGAGAACCCCUUGGCCAGGUUGUCUUGAAGAUUCCAGAAGUCUUCUCCAAGGAGCUGCAAGAGCGCUAUGCACACACUCCUGCCGGUGAGAGGCAGCACCCCGUCCCUUCCCGGGGAGCCGGCGGGAAGCCCUGGAGCCAGCCGUCCGCGGCGCCUUGAUGAAGUCCCUCUCUCUCUGGGCCCUGAGGAGUCUCCAGGCCUCCCUGCCUCAUAGUAUUAUCGGGACUGUUCCGGAGCCUGGCAUACAGUCCGCCGGGCACAGCGGAGCAGGUGGUGCUGGGACCCUGGAGCGUGCACCGGGCAGGGUCCCCUGCUGAUUCCCAGUCACUGUCACUGCGUCCUGGCGACGGGGCAG